rnacentral:rRNA from 1 species
GGUCAGAACGAACGCUGGCGGCGCGUUUAAGCAUGCAAGUCGGACGGCAAGUCGGGUAGCAAUACCUGGCCUAGAGUGGCGAACGGGUGAGUAACACGUAGGCGAUCUGCCUCUGGAUGGGGGAUAGCCCGUGGAAACACGGGGUAAUACCGCAUGAGGCCUUGUGGGUGAAGCCAUGAGGUGAAAGGUGCAAUUGCACCGUCUGGGGAUGAGCCUGCGGUCCAUUAGGUAGUUGGUGAGGUAACGGCCCACCAAGCCGACGAUGGAUAGCCGGCCUGAGAGGGUGUACGGCCACACUGGAACUGAGACACGGUCCAGACUCCUACGGGAGGCAGCAGCUAAGAAUCUUCCGCAAUGGGGGAAACCCUGACGGAGCGACGCCGCGUGGAUGAUGAAGGCCGUAAGGUUGUAAAAUCCUUUUGUUGGCGAAGAAUAAGGCGGGGAGUGGAAAGCCCCGCUGAUGACGUUAGCCGACGAAUAAGCCCCGGCCAAUUACGUGCCAGCCGCCGC